rnacentral:rRNA from 1 species
GACGAACGCUGGCGGCGUGCUUAACACAUGCAAGUCGAACGGAAAGGCCCUGCUUUUGUGGGGUGCUCGAGUGGCGAACGGGUGAGUAACACGUGAGUAACCUGCCCUUGACUUUGGUAUAACUUCAGGAAACUGGGGCUAAUACCGGAUAGGAGCUCCUGCUGCAUGGUGGGGGUUGGAAAGUUUCGGCGGUUGGGGAUGGACUCGCGGCUUAUCAGCUUGUUGGUUGGGUAGUGGCUUACCAAGGCUUUGACGGGUAGCCGGCCUGAGAGGGUGACCGGCCACAUUGGGACUGAGAUACGGACCAGACUGCUACGGGAGGCAGCAGUGGGGAAUAUUGCACAAUGGGCGGAAGCCUGAUGAAGAAACGCCGCGUGCGGGAUGACGGCCUUCGGGUUGUAAACCGCUUCAGCCUGUGACGAAGCGUGAGUGACGGUAAUGGGUAAAGAAGCACCGGCUAACUACGUG